UUUCCGUAGGUGAACCUGCGGAAGGAUCAUUACUGAGUCAGGGCCCCUCGGGGUCCAACCUCCCACCCGUGUUUAACGAACCUUGUUGCUUCGGCGGGCCCGCCUCACGGCCGCCUGGGGGCAUCUCCCCCCGGGCCCGCGCCCGCCGAAGCCACCUGUGAACGCUGUAUGAAAUAUGCAGUCUGAGACAAUUAUUAAAUUAAUUAAAACUUUCAACAACGGAUCUCUUGGUUCCG
rnacentral:misc_RNA from 1 species